GCGAAAGUGGCGGAACUGGUAGACGCACUGGACUUAGAAUCCAGCGCCUUCGUGCGUGGGGGUUCAAAUCCCCCCUUUCGCACCA
rnacentral:tRNA from 1 species